UUAGUACUCUCUCCGUCCAGAAUUACUUGUUAUAGAAAUGAAUGUAUCUAGACAUAUUUUAGUUUUACAUACAUUUUUUUUAUGAUAAGUAAUUCCGGACGGAGGGAGUAAGAU
rnacentral:pre_miRNA from 2 species